GAGCGGUAGCCCAGAGAAACUUGUUUCUUGGGUGACGAGCGGCGGACGGGUGAGUAAUGCUUGGGAACAUGCCUUUAGGUGGGGGACAACAGUUGGAAACGACUGCUAAUACCGCAUGAUGUCUACGGACCAAAGUGGGGGACCUUCGGGCCUCACGCCUAAAGAUUGGCCCAAGUGGGAUUAGCUAGUUGGUGAGGUAAUGGCUCACCAAGGCAACGAUCUCUAGCUGGUUUGAGAGGAUGAUCAGCCACACUGGAACUGAGACACGGUCCAGACUCCUACGGGAGGCAGCAGUGGGGAAUAUUGCACAAUGGGCGAAAGCCUGAUGCAGCCAUGCCGCGUGUGUGAAGAAGGCCUUCGGGUUGUAAAGCACUUUCAGUCAGGAGGAAAGGUUACGUUUUAAUAGAGCGUAGCUGUGACGUUACUGACAGAAGAAGCACCGGCUAACUCCGUGCCAGCAGCCGCGGUAAUACGGAGGGUGCGAGCGUUAAUCGGAAUUACUGGGCGUAAAGCGUACGCAGGGCGGGUUGAUUAAAGCGAGAUGUGGAAAGCCCCGGGCUCAACCUGGGAACUGCAUUUCGAACUGGGUCAACUAGAGUGUG
rnacentral:rRNA from 1 species